CUGAUCUGGAACCUUAAUUAUAUGUAUAAAAUCCCUUCAGGGUAGCACCUACAUUUGUGUUUGAUUAGAUGACUAAGAGAAGGUGUAUGUAUGUACAACAGAGACUGGGUACCAUCUUAGAAUUCUGCCUACCACACAAAUUUGUUAUAUGUAGUCAUGUAAAUGCAUGUAUGUUCACCAAUGCCAUGGAUUGCAAGGGUUCAUAAAAUAUUCCAAGAUAACAGAAAUAAAGAUCAAAGGAAGAAAAUAAGAAAAGCAUUAAUGGAACAAGACAUGAGCAACACACACACACACACACACACACGCUCUCGCUCUCUCAUAUACAUCUCUCUGUAUAUUGCACUAAUAUCUAGAUAGUUACAACAGGUGGACAAUACAUUUAAGCUUUCUCACUACGGGGGCAGGGAAAGAUAAAGCUUGUCAUGUAAGUAAUUCAUAGCCUGCAUAAAUUGAAAACAUUCAUCUUUUACAUAAGCUCUAUGAUGGAACUUUAUGUAUACAUUUGAAUUAGGCCUGAACUGGGUAUUUCACAUUAUCCCCAAUGCCCUAUCCCUUCUUAUGUUGUAGCUUACAAGAUCUACUAUAUAUUUUAAUGCUGAAUUUAUCUCUGAUUUUAAAAAAUGCAAUAAUCACCUUAGCUAACCUAGUAGUAGAGACUAAUAAAAUGAAAAGUAUGAUUUUCUUUACAUUAUGGAAAUAUGGAUCCUAUAACAUGGUAAUGAAGAACUUGGGUUUUGGAGCUGGCCAACCAAGAUUGGGAUCUUAGCUUUGUUGAUCAUGAGUGACCUGUGGGACCCAUGAGAAAGUGACUCCCUCU
rnacentral:lncRNA from 1 species